CCUACGGGCGGCUGCAGUAGGGAAUAUUGCUCAAUGGGGGAAACCCUGAAGCAGCAACGCCGCGUGGAGGAUGAAGGUUUUCGGAUUGUAAACUCCUUUUGUUAGAGAAGAUAAUGACGGUAUCUAACGAAUAAGCACCGGCUAACUCCGUGCCAGCAGCCGCGGUAAUACGGAGGGUGUAAGCGUUACUCGGAAUCACUGGGCGUAAAGGGCGCGUAGGCGGGAUAGCAAGUCAGAUGUGAAAUCCUAUGGCUUAACCAUAGAACUGCAUUUGAAACUGUUAUUCUAGAGUAUGGGAGGGGUAGGUGGAAUUCUUGGUGUAGGGGUAAAAUCCGUAGAGAUCAAGAGGAAUACUCAUUGCGAAGGCGACCUGCUAGAACAUAACUGACGCUGAUGCGCGAAAGCGUGGGGAGCAAACAGGAUUAGAUACCCCAGUAGUC
rnacentral:rRNA from 1 species